rnacentral:rRNA from 1 species
GAUAAAAAUUUGCAUGAAUUUUUAUUCAAAGGAGCCUUCAAGCUUCACCAAGAAAUGGGGGUGCGCAACAUUAGUUAGUUGGUAGGGUAAAAGCCUACCAAGACGAUGAUGUUUAGCGGGGCCAAGAGGUUGUACCGCCACACUGGGAUUGAGAUACGGCCCAGACUCCUACGGGAGGCAGCAGUAAGGAAUAUUCCACAAUAAGCGAAAGCUUGAUGGAGCGACACAGCGUGCAGGAUGAAGUCUUUCGGGAUGUAAACUGCUGUUGUAAGGGAAGAAAAAACUAGAUAGGAAAUGCUCUAGUCUUGACGGUACCUUAUUAGAAAGCGACGGCAAACUAUGUGCCAGCAGCCGCGGUAAUACAUAGGUCGCAAGCGUUAUCCGGAAUUAUUGGGCGUAAAGCGUCCGUAGGUUUUUUGUUAAGUUUAAAGUUAAAUGCUAAAGCUCAACUUUAGUCCGCUUUAGAUACUGGCAAAAUAGAAUUAUGAAGAGGUUAGCGGAAUUCCUAGUGGAGUGGUGGAAUACGUAGAUAUUAGGAAGAACACCAAUAGGCGAAGGCAGCUAACUGGUCAUAUAUUGACACUAAGGGACGAAAGCGUGGGGAGCAAACAGGAUUAGAUACCCUGGUAGUCCACGCCGUAAACGAUGAUCAUUAGUUGGUGGCAAAAGUCACUAACACAGCUAACGCGUUAAAUGAUCCGCCUGAGUAGUAUGCUCGCAAGAGUGAAACUUAAAGGAAUUGACGGGAACCCGCACAAGCGGUGGAGCAUGUGGUUUAAUUUGAUGCUACGCGUAGAACCUUACCCACUCUUGACAUUCUCGCAAAACUAUAGAGAUAUAGCCGAGGCUAACGAGAUCACAGAUGGUGCAUGGUUGUCGUCAGCUCGUGUCGUGAGAUGUUAGGUUAAGUCCUGCAACGAGCGCAACCCUUUUCUUUAGUUGCUAACAUUUAGUUGAGAACCCUAAAGAUACUGCCGGCGCAAGCCGGAGGAAGGUGGGGAUGACGUCAAAUCAUCAUGCCUCUUACGAGUGGGGCAACACACGUGCUACAAUGGCUACUACAAAGAGCAGCAAAACAGUGAUGUCAAGCUAAUCUCAAAAAAGUAGUCUCAGUUCGGAUUGAAGUCUGCAACUCGACUUCAUGAA